ACAUAGCAAGACUCUGCCUCUAAAAAAAAUUUCUUUUUAAUUUUUAAGUAAUUUUAAAUUACCAGAAGGGUGGCAGGGGUAAGGAUGCAUCAGAAAAUUGACCAUAUAGCUCAAGAUUAAAAAAAGAGAGAGAGAAAUGACAGUCUCCAGAUCCAAUAUAACUGGGAUUCUCCAGUUUAAUAUCAGACAGCAUUGAAUUAAAGGUAAAAAAGCGUGUAUCUGUAACAAGAAUGUAAGUGGCCUAAAUCUCUACGCAACACAAAACAAAACAGCAUUCUGGCAGAAACUGUUAGCUGUCCACCAAAACCUAUUCUCUUUUUACAUGACCCAGAGUUAUAGGUGAGCAUUUGGCUGUUCAGAUACACCCUGCAUUUGCUUGGGAUUUCAAUGGAAUGUGAGCAGAAAUUACUUGAGACAUAUCGGACACUAAAAGCAAGCCCCAGUUGCAUCUUGUGGAAAGCACUGAGAGCUACCAAAUAUAUACAGACGUUUCCAGCAUGAGUAUAUUUCAUUCCCUUUGAGAUCCCACAAUAAAAUCAAAGUGAAGAAACUCAACAACAUCAGUCAAGUGCCCGCCCUACCAUGGUGGAGGAGAAACACAAUGCGAGAUCAAUGACUCAAGAUGAAGCCAAAUAUGCUCCAGUGAGCAUGGUAACUGGAAAAAUUGCCUUAUUUUUGUGUUCCCUGGGUGUGCAUGUGGCAACCUAGGACAACAUUUAAAUAGAUGUGUAAGAAAAAAGGGUAGACAGUACAAAGCAUGAUAAUCACAUGAAGGCAUCAGCUCCUGACAGCCCGCUACAGGCCGGUUUUCACGUUGUGGGUAGCAUUAGGUAGAUAACCCACAGGAAUUGUCUCUGGAUCUGAGGUCAGGAGAACACAGCCAAGGCUACACAAGACAGAGAAGAUUCUGCUGACUUUCAAAAGAGCAGCACUCAAAGAGGGGCUUGGUUGGGUGGUUUUUGUUAUAGUCAGCGGGGUCAGCUGGGACAGAAGGACCGUUUCCAAGAUGGCUUCUUCAUUUACAAGUCUUACAGGUUGUGUGUGUUGAUAUGUAUGUAGAGGCUCUAAGUCUAUGAAUUGACUCAGGCCAUGGAAUUGAAUAAGGGACUGAUUUUUUUAAUAGUGACUCAUAUGAGUCCUGUUCGCCAGACCCACAGCAUGAUCAAUGACACAGAGCAGAAACUGUGCCCAGCUUGCUUCAGGUGCUGCCACUUGUCUUCUGUGACUCCUGGAUGGCAUGAUUCUAACUGAAAAAGGAAGAUCUCAUUUUAUGAGUGGCCUUUAUCUUAAUCCCCUGCCCACAAAGGAUAACUUCUAAGUCUCUUUUCAAAAAUAAAUGUAUUCUGAAAUAACAUCAUUUGAAGCAA